AAAAAAAAAAAAAAAAAUAAAAAUAAAAAAAAAAAAAAACGAGAAUCUUACUUCCCCU
rnacentral:ribozyme from 13 species